rnacentral:rRNA from 1 species
UACGAAGGGGGCUAGCGUUGCUCGGAAUCACUGGGCGUAAAGGGUGCGUAGGCGGGUCUUUAAGUCAGAGGUGAAAUCCUGGAGCUCAACUCCAGAACUGCCUUUGAUACUGAGGAUCUUGAGUACGGGAGAGGUGAGUGGAACUGCGAGUGUAGAGGUGAAAUUCGUAGAUAUUCGCAAGAACACCAGUGGCGCAAGCGGCUAUCUGGACCGACAUCGACGCUGAGGCACGAAAGCGUGGGGAUCAAACAGG